rfam:Candidate division WWE3 bacterium GW2011_GWC2_44_9 TW82_C0020, whole genome shotgun sequence.
CGGGGACUGGCGCAAUUGGCUAGCGCGCUGCUUUCGGGUAGCAGAGGCUCGCGGUUCGAGUCCGCGGUCCCCGA